AUGAAUAUGCACAUCCGCAGCGCCUCCUUUACUCCGAGGACUUUCUCCUUCCCCCCGGCACAAAACCGAACAUCCCACCCCACCCCCAAGCUGAAAUACCUGGGCCGCCCCUCCCCGGGAAGGGCCGCGCUCCCGGCGAACUGGGAGGGCCCGGAAGUCGGCCCGGGACUGAGGAGCCGGCCCACCGCCUCCCGGCCGGAGGCGGCAGUGCAGGUGAGGCGGCGGCCGCCCUGGGCACGGCGGGGUAAGGAGCGGAGGGCGGCCUGCGCCGGGGAGGCGGUGGGGGCCGGCCGCGCCGCCUCGCCUCGCCUCGGCCUUCCUGCCCCGUCGGGGCUCGCCGCUCGGGACACCGGCGGAGCACGUCUGGGCGGGGGGCGGCUCCCGCCCUCGGACCCUCACCCCGCCCCGGCCAGCCGCGGCGGGGACACCGGGUCAGCGAAGGGUUAAGGAACUCGCUCCCUCCCCUCCGUUCCCUCACCCUUGGAAAGUCCCCGAAAUGACGUUUCAACCCGACAAUUAAAAAAAGAGUUUAAUUAUAGAGGCAGACUCUGGGAGCUGGAACAAACCCUCGGCCGGCGGGGCCGGUAAACAACUCGGGAGCGAGCGGUCCGGGCCAGCCGCAGCCUUGAGGACCCCGCGCCCCCGGGGAGAGGGGGAGGGGAGGGCCGCUGGGAGUUGGAAAAGCCUAAGAAAUUCGAGGAAUCAGCUUUCUUUGGAAAAACCCACUUUGUGGCCAUUCUGGGACGCCCGAUGGUGCUCCUGGCCGGUCCCGCAGACUUGGAGGGAAAGCGGCGCUGCCCGGAGCAGGGGGACAGCCCUGGGCCGGGAAGGGGGCCCCUUCCGCUCCCAGUCCCCUUCCCCUUUGCCUGCUUCCAGCCCCUCCUCUGGUCCCCUCAGCCGAGCUUCGCCAACCCUCGGGAGUUAAAGACCAGCCGGCCCCCUUUGGGGCGGCGGUUUGGGGGAGCGGGAAUGGGUGGAGGCCGGGGGAAUAAAAAAACCGAAAUAGUUUCACAUCAGAACUCAGACUAACCUUGUGGUUUCAGCGUGCACCCUGCUCUGUCCCGAAAUCUGGAACUCAUUACCUCAUCACCAAGAAACUGCACGAAAUCGUCCCCCCCCCCCACGCCCCAACACCCACUUGGGGCUGGGAAAGGAACGAGCAAACAUCCCUCUAAGAAAGAAACCUACACUUGAGUGAUUGAAAUUAAGGUGGAUGGAAGUUAUUCCCUUUCUGGCGCUUGCCAGAAAAGCUGAAAAAUGGGAGCAGGGGGAGAGAAGCAACAGGCGGCUGGAGAGCAGCAGCAGAACAGGCGAGGGGCAGCAGCCGUGUUAAAGUGGGGGCCAUCAAUUUCAGGCAGAGGAGACAAAUGAAAGCCGAUCCCGCUGGGAUCACGUAGGUUCGUGGCUGCAGCAUAAGUUGUGUUUCGCAAAGUUGAAAACAACCGGUUUCUCAAACAGUUGUGAUUUGGAAGGUUUCGCUGGGUUUGCCCAGAGGUUGACGAAUAAAUAAAAAAUGCAGUU